AUGGAUAACGUGACAUUUCUCCAAACUAUGGCGCAGGGGACGUUAUCCAACAUCUCAGCAUCUACUCACAGGAACACAGAUUUAGGUUUAUCAGCUCUGGGAAGAUCUUAUGAAAAUAAGAAACAGAAGCUGAUGCUGGAGCUGCAGAUGGAUUAUAAAGCUUAUUUGGCCAAGAAAACAGAUUUUAAAAGCCGUGUGCGUGACAGGCAGCACAAGGAUCUCCCA